rnacentral:misc_RNA from 1 species
AACGCACAUUGCGCCCAUUAGUAUUCUAGUGGGCAUGCCUGUUCGAGCGUCAUUUCAACCCUUAAGCCCUGUUGCUUAGUGUUGGGAAUCUAGGUUUUAGGGCCUAGUUCCUCAAAGUUAUUGGCGGAGUUAGGGUAUACUCUGAGCGUAGUAGUGUUCUUCUCGCUUUUGCAGUAGCCUUGACGGCUUGCCGUAAACCCCCUAUAUUUUCGUGGUUGACCUCGAAUCAGGUAGGAAUACCCGCUGAACUUAA